UACGGAGGGUGCAAGCGUUAUCCGGAUUCACUGGGUUUAAAGGGUGCGUAGGAGGGCAGGUAAGUCAGUGGUGAAAUCUCCAAGCUUAACUUGGAAACUGCCGCUGAUACUAUCUGUCUUGAAUAUUGUGGAGGUGAGCGGAAUAUGUCAUGUAGCGGUGAAAUGCUUAGAUAUGACAUAGAACACCAAUUGCGAAGGCAGCUCGCUACACAUAUAUUGACUCUGAGGCACGAAAGCGUGGGGAUCAAACAGG
rnacentral:rRNA from 1 species